AAUAUUGCACAAUGGAGGAAACUCUGAUGCAGCGACGCCGCGUGAGCGAUGAAGAUCUUCGGAUCGUAAAGCUCUGUCCUAAGGGAAGAUAGUGACGGUACCUUAGGAGGAAGCCCCGGCUAACUACGUGCCAGCAGCCGCGGUAACACGUAGGGGGCGAGCGUUGUCCGGAAUUACUGGGUGUAAAGGGUGCGUAGGCGGCCUUGCAAGUCAGAUGUGAAAGAUCACGGCUUAACUGUGGUAAGCAUUUGAAACUGUAAGGCUUGAGUGCAGGAGAGGAGAGUGGAAUUCCUAGUGUAGCGGUGAAAUGCGUAGAUAUUAGGAAGAAUAUCAGUGGCGAAGGCGGCUCUCUGGACUGCAACUGACGCUGAGGCACGAAAGCGUGGGGAGCAAACA
rnacentral:rRNA from 1 species